rnacentral:rRNA from 1 species
AUGGGAAAUAACUUGGUCUACCUAUGUAACCUUGCGAUGCUUGCAAGACAAGCUUGGAGACUAAUUCAGUGCCCUGAAUCUUUGUGUGCAAGGGUCCUUCGAGCCAAGUACUACCCAAACAAUGACAUUCUUUCUGCUGCUCUAGUCACGAAUAUGAGUUAUAACUGGAGAAGUAUUCUCAAAGGUUUGGAGAUUGUGAAAGAAGGGUAUAUCUGGAGAAUCGGAUCUGGCGAGAGGGCGAGGAUAUGGAUUGAUCCUUGGAUUCCUAGGGAUAUGUCAAGAAUGCCUUUAACAGGACAAGGUGCCACCUACUCACACGUGUUUCAAAAUUGA